CGGGCUGUAGCGCAGCUUGGUAGCGCAUCUGCUUUGGGAGCAGAGGGUCGCAGGUUCAAAUCCUGUCAGCCCGACCA
rnacentral:tRNA from 3 species